GCGUGCCUAAUACAUGCAAGUCGAACGCUUCUUUUUCCACCGGAGCUUGCUCCACCGGAAAAAGAGGAGUGGCGAACGGGUGAGUAACACGUGGGUAACCUGCCCAUCAGAAGGGGAUAACACUUGGAAACAGGUGCUAAUACCGUAUAACAAUCGAAACCGCAUGGUUUUGAUUUGAAAGGCGCUUUCGGGUGUCGCUGAUGGAUGGACCCGCGGUGCAUUAGCUAGUUGGUGAGGUAACGGCUCACCAAGGCCACGAUGCAUAGCCGACCUGAGAGGGUGAUCGGCCACAUUGGGACUGAGACACGGCCCAAACUCCUACGGGAGGCAGCAGUAGGGAAUCUUCGGCAAUGGACGAAAGUCUGACCGAGCAACGCCGCGUGAGUGAAGAAGGUUUUCGGAUCGUAAAACUCUGUUGUUAGAGAAGAACAAGGAUGAGAGUAACUGUUCAUCCCUUGACGGUAUCUAACCAGAAAGCCACGGCUAACUACGUGCCAGCAGCCGCGGUAAUACGUAGGUGGCAAGCGUUGUCCGGAUUUAUUGGGCGUAAAGCGAGCGCAGGCGGUUUCUUAAGUCUGAUGUGAAAGCCCCCGGCUCAACCGGGGAGGGUCAUUGGAAACUGGGAGACUUGAGUGCAGAAGAGGAGAGUGGAAUUCCAUGUGUAGCGGUGAAAUGCGUAGAUAUAUGGAGGAACACCAGUGGCGAAGGCGGCUCUCUGGUCUGUAACUGACGCUGAGGCUCGAAAGCGUGGGGAGCAAACAGGAUUAGAUACCCUGGUAGUCCACGCCGUAAACGAUGAGUGCUAAGUGUUGGAGGGUUUCCGCCCUUCAGUGCUGCAGCUAACGCAUUAAGCACUCCGCCUGGGGAGUACGACCGCAAGGUUGAAACUCAAAGGAAUUGACGGGGGCCCGCACAAGCGGUGGAGCAUGUGGUUUAAUUCGAAGCAACGCGAAGAACCUUACCAGGUCUUGACAUCCUUUGACCACUCUAGAGAUAGAGCUUCCCCUUCGGGGGCAAAGUGACAGGUGGUGCAUGGUUGUCGUCAGCUCGUGUCGUGAGAUGUUGGGUUAAGUCCCGCAACGAGCGCAACCCUUAUUGUUAGUUGCCAUCAUUCAGUUGGGCACUCUAGCAAGACUGCCGGUGACAAACCGGAGGAAGGUGGGGAUGACGUCAAAUCAUCAUGCCCCUUAUGACCUGGGCUACACACGUGCUACAAUGGGAAGUACAACGAGUCGCGAAGUCGCGAGGCUAAGCUAAUCUCUUAAAGCUUCUCUCAGUUCGGAUUGUAGGCUGCAACUCGCCUACAUGAAGCCGGAAUCGCUAGUAAUCGCGGAUCAGCACGCCGCGGUGAAUACGUUCCCGGGCCUUGUACACACCGCCCGUCACACCACGAGAGUUUGUAACACCCGAAGUCGGUGAGGUAACCUUUUAGGAGCCAGCCGCCUAAGGUGGGAUAGAUGAUUGGGGUGAAAUC
rnacentral:rRNA from 1 species